AUUUACAUAUUAACGGGCCAAAUGGAGUUGUCCUUGAUGGGUAUCCCAUUUAUAGUUGUGGUGUAGGUGAGUGCGAUUCUCAAGAACAAGGUUGGCGGCGAAAAGUGGUGUUGUGUGCUUGAGGUUAAUGAUCGUACCUAGCAUUAUGUGAACGGAACCGGAGAGGGAAGCUAAGGAUUCAAACAUCUAUUUUGAUGGAGACGAACUUAGGACUGUUAUUGGUCAAGAUGAAGCUGAGAUUCUGACCUGUUAGGGGCUGAUUGGAGUCACGAUUUUCCAGCGGUUACAAGGUACGUUGGGCUAUGUAAUGAGCGAGGUAGAAAAUGGAAAAUCGUUCAAUGAAGUUGUUAAAGUUGCUAAAGACCUCGGAUAUACUGAACUAGAUCCUCGUGACGAUCUCAGCGGUAUGGAUGUUGCACGAAAGAGGGUUUAAUCCUUGCACGACUUCUCGGCCAACGUAUUGACAUGAAUACGAUAAAGAUUGAAAGCUUGUACCCUGAUAAAAUGGGGCCCGGCACGAUGACCCUCGAAGACUUUUAGCAAAUGGCCUGCCAUUGCUGGAUAAUGACAUUAAAGAAAGAGUCAAGAAAGCUUCUUCAGAUGGGCAUGUUUUGCGCUAUGUUUGUAUCCUACAGAACUCAACGUCCCGCCUUGCUGCCGCUGCGGCUGCUGCUCAAGUAGCGGCUGCAAACCCGCCCGGUAUGGACUUGGAUCUACCGAUUGAUCCUAAUGAACCGACGUAUUGUUUCUGCAACCAAGUUAGCUACAGGGAGAUGGUUGCGUGCGACAAUCCUGAUACAGUAACGGAAGCAAGACAACAGAGAGUCAGCUAGAAGAUCAAGGAUGCGCAAGCAGGCUGAGUGUAAAGCGCUACAAGCAACAGUAGAGACGCUAAAUAACGAGAAUCACUCACUUAGGGAUGAGCUGCAGAGGCUUUCUGAGGCAUGUGGGAAGCUUACCGCUAAAAAUGAUUCGAUGAAGGAUGAGUUAACCCGGUCUAUUGGACCUGAAGCUGUGACAAAACCGGAUGCACAACUUGAAUCUCAAACCAACGAAGGCGACAGUUGACAAGAAAGUUAUUCAAUUAAGUCAACAACCAUUUUUAAGGGAUUUUGACUAUAGGAUUAAUCAAGGAAGUCGUUAACAUUUCGUUAUAGAAUCUCUGGUCCUGAUGCUUGACGUUGUACAAGUUAAGAUUAUACCAGGAAUUAGAAAUGAUGAAAUCUGUAUUAUUGGCGGUUUUGUUUGGAGCGGCUCCCAUUUCUUUAAAUAAAGGAAUGGAGAAGACUACAAAAGAAUUGAUUAGAUUUUUAAAGAGGAAAAUCAAGAAGUCCGCUUGAAGAUGCUGAAAUAAAGUUAUCUAAUUAUGAAAAGGAGCUUAAAGCAUCAAGAAAGCAGCUUCAAGAGGUUGAAUCUAAGUUAUAUGACCGACGAAACGAGCCUAAGGUAUCAAGAAAAGUAGCUUCAAGAAUCUAAAAUCAAUUUGGCAGAGCGUGUAAACUGUUAGCAUAAUAAAGUUAGUGGGCUUGUAUUAUAUUGGGUUUAUUGUUUAGCCCAUUUUGCUAGUAACCCUAGAUUGUUUCUCUAUUUAUAGUGUUACUUUUUUUUGUUUAUGUAAUCACCUUUCAUUAUAAUAAAACCCUAGCCACUACGUUUCCUCUGUA